rnacentral:rRNA from 1 species
CGGAGGCUACCGCUAUUGGAGUUCGAUUAAGCCAUGCGAGUCGCGAGUCUUAGGGACUCGGCGUACCGCUCAGUAACACGUGGGUAACCUGCCCUAUGCUGGGGAAUAACCUCGGGAAACUGAGAAUAAUGCCCCAUAGUUCACCACACCUGGAACGGUGGGUGGAUCAAAGCUCCGGCGGCAUAGGAUGGGCCUGCGGCGUAUCAGGUCGUAGGGGGUGUAAUGUACCCUCUAGCCAUCGACGCGUACGGGUGUUGGGAGACAUUGCCCGGAGAUGGAUUCUGAGACACGAAUCCAGACCCUACGGGGUGCAGCAGGCGCGAAAACUUGGCAAUGCGAGAAAUCGUGACCAGGGAACUCCAAGUGCAUCGGGUAAGACCGAUGCUUUUCUUGACUCUUCAACGGUCUUGGAAUAAGGGGUGGGUAAGGACGGUGCCAGCCGCCGCGGUAAUACCGGCGCCUCAAGUGGUAGUCGCUUUUAUUGGGCCUAAAACGUCCGUAGCCGGUUUGUUACAUUCGUGGGUAAAUCAAGGCGCUCAACGUCUUGAAUUCUGCGAGCACGGCCAGACUUGGGACCGGGUGAGGUGUGGGGUACUCUCAGGGUAGGGGUAAAAUCCUGUCAUCCUGAGAGGACCACCUGUUGCGAAGGCGCCACACUAGAACGGAUCCGACGGUCAGGGACGAAGCCUAGGGGCACGAACCGGAUUAGAUACCCGGGUAGUCCUAGGUGUAAACGCUGUGGACUUGAUGUUGGGAGUGCUCCGAGCACCCUCAGUGUCGAAGCGAAGGUGAUAAGUCCACUGCCUGGGGAGUACGGUCGCAAGGCUGAAACUUAAAGGAAUUGGCGGGG